GCGGUAGGCCUAACACAUGCAAGUCGAGCGCAGGGGCAGACGGGUGAGUAACGCGUGGGAAUCUACCAUUUGCUACGGAACAACAGUUGGAAACGACUGCUAAUACCGUAUGGCAAAUGAUGAGCCCGCGUUGGAUUAGCUAGUUGGUGGGGUAAAGGCCUACCAAGGCGACGAUCCAUAGCUGGUCUGAGAGGAUGAUCAGCCACACUGGGACUGAGACACGGCCCAGACUCCUACGGGAGGCAGCAGUGGGGAAUAUUGGACAAUGGGCGCAAGCCUGAUCCAGCCAUGCCGCGUGAGUGAUGAAGGCCCUAGGGUUGUAAAGCUCUUUCACCGGUGAAGCGGUAACCGGAGAAGAAGCCCCGGCUAACUUCGUGCCAGCAGCCGCGGUAAUACGAAGGGGGCUAGCGUUGUUCGGAUUUACUGGGCGUAAAGCGCACGUAGGCGGACUAAUAAGUCAGGGGUGAAAUCCCGGGGCUCAACCCCGGAACUGCCUUUGAUACUGUUAGUCUUGAGUAUGGAAGAGGUGAGUGGAAUUCCGAGUGUAGAGGUGAAAUUCGUAGAUAUUCGGAGGAACACCAGUGGCG
rnacentral:rRNA from 1 species